rnacentral:rRNA from 1 species
GACGAACGCUGGCGGCGUGCCUAAUACAUGCAAGUAGAACGCUGAAGGAGGAGCUUGCUCUUCUGGAUGAGUUGCGAACGGGUGAGUAACGCGUAGGUAACCUGCCUGGUAGCGGGGGAUAACUAUUGGAAACGACAGCUAAUACCGCAUAACAGUAGAUGUUGCAUGACAUUUACUUAAAAGGUGCAAUUGCAUCACUACCAGAUGGACCUGCGUUGUAUUAGCUAGUUGGUGGGGUAACGGCUCACCAAGGCGACGAUACAUAGCCGACCUGAGAGGGUGAUCGGCCACACUGGGACUGAGACACGGCCCAGACUCCUACGGGAGGCAGCAGUAGGGAAUCUUCGGCAAUGGACGGAAGUCUGACCGAGCAACGCCGCGUGAGUGAAGAAGGUUUUCGGAUCGUAAAGCUCUGUUGUAAGAGAAGAACGAGUGUGAGAGUGGAAAGUUCACACUGUGACGGUAUCUUACCAGAAAGGGACGGCUAACUACGUG